rnacentral:rRNA from 1 species
GACAGAGGUGCCGAGCGUUAGGCGGAAUCACUGGGCUUAAAGCGUGUGUAGGCGGGUCGUUAAGUACCUUGUGAAAUCCCACGGCUUAACCGUGGAACUGCUCGGUAUACUGGCGAUCUUGAGCCACUUAGGGGUCAGCGGAACAAAUGGUGGAGCGGUGAAGUGCGUAGAUAUCAUUUGGAACGCCAAUGGUGAAAACAGCUGACUGGGAGUGUGCUGACGCUGAGACGCGAAAGCGUGGGGAGCAAACAGG